rnacentral:lncRNA from 1 species
AACACUUGGAAGAACUUCCAAUGCUUCUGGAAAAUUGUCAUGUGUCAGGUAAUACUUCCAAAAGGUGGAUGUAUGCUGACUCCUGAUUCUCUAGCGGUUUCUUGCAGAAGGCUAUGUGAUGUCAAGGACAGAAGACAAACCCUCUUUUCAGGAGCUGAACACCAAGGAGACAGGAAGCUUCCGCAGUGGGUCUUGCGCCUAAUCUGCCGAUCUCUCCUUCAUGAACAGCCUCCUGAGGAUUAUCAACUUGACUGGGCCAUUCAAUGCCCAGACUUUUGGUCAAACAGCAUUCCAGGUGUGUCUGUGAAGACGUUUCUGGAUGAGAUGAACAUUUGCAUUGGAAGGCAGUAAAGCAGAUUGCCCUCCUUAAUGUGCAUGAGCCUCAUUCAACCAGUUGAAGACCAGAAGGAACAAAAUGAUGGGUAAGAGGGAGCGCCUCCUGUCUGACUGAACUGGGACAUUGGUCUUUUCGUGCAUUUGA